AGCGAACGCUGGCGGCAGGCCUAACACAUGCAAGUCGAACGAACUCUUCGGAGUUAGUGGCGGACGGGUGAGUAACACGUGGGAACGUGCCUUUAGGUUCGGAAUAACUCAGGGAAACUUGUGCUAAUACCGAAUGUGCCCUUCGGGGGAAAGAUUUAUCGCCUUUGGAGCGGCCCGCGUCUGAUUAGCUAGUUGGUGAGGUAAAGGCUCACCAAGGCGACGAUCAGUAGCUGGUCUGAGAGGAUGAUCAGCCACAUUGGGACUGAGACACGGCCCAAACUCCUACGGGAAGCAGCAGUGGGGAAUCUUGCGCAAUGGGCGAAAGCCUGACGCAGCCAUGCCGCGUGAAUGAUGAAGGUCUUAGGAUUGUAAAAUUCUUUCACCGGGGACGAUAAUGACGGUACCCGGAGAAGAAGCCCCGGCUAACUUCGUG
rnacentral:rRNA from 1 species